UCACGAUAAAAGUUGUUAUUGUUUAUGAAGGUGUCUGUUAUUUUAUGAAGAGGCAUCUGGCUGUUUUGUUUAUGUUUGUUUUUCAUUAAUGGUUUAGCUCAUGAGAUCACGAGGCCAGUGGCUAAGAAAGGCUGGCCGACUAGCGCUAUCGCCAAACAUCUGGCCAUGAAUGGAAUAAGACCUUCCUUGCGGACUAUCCGGCGAAAGCUGCGUUAAGUGACAAGUCAGGUGAUGGAAAUAAUAGACUCCAUCCUGAGAACAGAUGAUGAACUACCAGCAAGAGAAUUAAAAGCGCUUCUUCAAAGAAGGCACAACAUAAGAAUCUGUUUAAACCCGAUUCGUUCCAAUGACCCGGGGAAAAAACAAAGACUUGCGUCUAAUCCAGCUCAAGAAUGGAAGGCUGCUGGUGAAAAGUGUGAUGUUCUCUUCACUGACGAGUGUGUGUUUUCCAGUCAAACUGCAUGUUUGGGGUGGGAUCAUUUUUGACGGUAUUAUGGAUCAACACUUCUACGCGGAAGAGAGACAAAAAAUCCAUCCAUUUAUACUUAAGGGAGCGUUUCCGUAUGUCUACACAUAGAUUCUUCCAAGGUGUCAAGGCCUGCAUUCAAAGUGAGGGGAUCAACUGGGUACCAACACCGGCAGAGUCGCUGGAUCUGAACCCCAUCGAGUUAGUGUGGGCUUCCACGAAACAAUACAUUCGCUGUGAGGCCAAACCCAUGAGCAAAGAUACACUGAUCUCUGCAAUAGUUUUUUUGGUAAAACAAACUCACAGCCGGUGUCUGCAAUAAAUACAUAGACCAUCUGGACAAAGUCAUCAACCAGGUCAUAGCGUGGAAGGGAGAGGCAACUGGUAUGUGAUCUCCCCACGGGCCAAGGGAUGUCCAAAUUUUCUCCUUUGC